AUUGAACGCUGGCGGCAGGCCUAACACCUGCAAGUCGAACGAGUGGCGGACGGGUGAGUAAUGUCUGGGAAACUGCCCGAUGGAGGGGGAUAACUACUGGAAACGGUAGCUAAUACCGCAUACCAUCGGAUGUGCCCAGAUGGGAUGAGCUUGUAGGUGAGGUAACGGCUCACCUAGGCGACGAGCCCUAGCUGGUCUGAGAGGAUGACCAGCAACACUGGAAUUGGUACCCGGUCCAGACUCCUACGGGAGGCACCAUGGGGGAAUAUUGCACAAUUGGCGCAAUUCUGAUGGAGCCAUGCCGCGUGGUGUAAGAAGGCCUUCGUGUUUUAAAGUACUUUCAGCGGGGAGGCGUUACCCGCAGAAGAAGCACCGGCUCACUCCGUGCCAGCAGCCGCGUUAAUAC
rnacentral:rRNA from 1 species